rnacentral:tRNA from 2 species
GGAGACAUAUCGAAGUGGCUGUAACGAGCCGCACUCGAAAUGCGGUUGUCCGCAAGGGCACGUGGGUUCGAAUCCCACUGUCUCCG